rnacentral:rRNA from 1 species
CCUUUGUACACACCGCCCGUCGCUACUACCGAUUGAAUGGCUUGGUGAGGCCUUCGGACUGGCUCAGGAGGGUUGGCAACGACCCCCCAGAGCCGGAAAGUUGGUCAAACCUGGUCAUUUAGAGG